GUGCUUAACACAUGCAAGUCGAACGGAAAGGCCCCUUCGGGGGUACUCGAGUGGCGAACGGGUGAGUAACACGUGGGUGAUCUACCCUGCACUUCGGGAUAAGCCUGGGAAACUGGGUCUAAUACCGGAUAGGACCAUGAGAUGCAUGUCUUAUGGUGGAAAGCUUUUGCGGUGUGGGAUGGGCCCGCGGCCUAUCAGCUUGUUGGUGGGGUGACGGCCUACCAAGGCGACGACGGGUAGCCGGCCUGAGAGGGUGUCCGGCCACACUGGGACUGAGAUACGGCCCAGACUCCUACGGGAGGCAGCAGUGGGGAAUAUUGCACAAUGGGCGCAAGCCUGAUGCAGCGACGCCGCGUGGGGGAUGACGGCCUUCGGGUUGUAAACCUCUUUCAGCAGGGACGAAGCGCAAGUGACGGUACCUGCAGAAGAAGCACCGGCCAACUACGUGCCAGCAGCCGCGGUAAUACGUAGGGUGCGAGCGUUGUCCGGAAUUACUGGGCGUAAAGAGCUCGUAGGUGGUUUGUCGCGUUGUUCGUGAAAACCGGGGGCUUAACCCUCGGCGUGCGGGCGAUACGGGCAGACUGGAGUACUGCAGGGGAGACUGGAAUUCCUGGUGUAGCGGUGGAAUGCGCAGAUAUCAGGAGGAACACCGGUGGCGAAGGCGGGUCUCUGGGCAGUAACUGACGCUGAGGAGCGAAAGCGUGGGGAGCGAACAGGAUUAGAUACCCUGGUAGUCCACGCCGUAAACGGUGGGUACUAGGUGUGGGUUUCCUUCCUUGGGAUCCGUGCCGUAGCUAACGCAUUAAGUACCCCGCCUGGGGAGUACGGCCGCAAGGCUAAAACUCAAAGGAAUUGACGGGGGCCCGCACAAGCGGCGGAGCAUGUGGAUUAAUUCGAUGCAACGCGAAGAACCUUACCUGGGUUUGACAUGCACAGGACGCGUCUAGAGAUAGGCGUUCCCUUGUGGCCUGUGUGCAGGUGGUGCAUGGCUGUCGUCAGCUCGUGUCGUGAGAUGUUGGGUUAAGUCCCGCAACGAGCGCAACCCUUGUCUCAUGUUGCCAGCGGGUAAUGCCGGGGACUCGUGAGAGACUGCCGGGGUCAACUCGGAGGAAGGUGGGGAUGACGUCAAGUCAUCAUGCCCCUUAUGUCCAGGGCUUCACACAUGCUACAAUGGCCGGUACAAAGGGCUGCGAUGCCGCGAGGUUAAGCGAAUCCUUUUAAAGCCGGUCUCAGUUCGGAUCGGGGUCUGCAACUCGACCCCGUGAAGUCGGAGUCGCUAGUAAUCGCAGAUCAGCAACGCUGCGGUGAAUACGUUCCCGGG
rnacentral:rRNA from 1 species